UAAAAAGGACCGAGGUCGGCUAAGAUCGCAACGUCCUGUUGCAACACCGACACUAACACGUCCUGUGCG
rfam:Oceanobacillus picturae, S1, WGS project CCAX01000000 data, contig: 000001